rnacentral:rRNA from 1 species
GAUCAUGGCUCAGGAUGAACGCUAGCUACAGGCUUAACACAUGCAAGUCGAGGGGCAGCAUGGUCUUAGCUUGCUAAGGCCGAUGGCGACCGGCGCACGGGUGAGUAACGCGUAUCCAACCUGCCUUACACUCUUGGACAGCCUUCUGAAAGGGAGAUUAAUACAAGGUGUUAUCAUGAGUAAGCAUUUUCGUCAUGAUUAAAGGUUUACCGGUGUAAGAUGGGGAGUGCGUUCCA